rnacentral:rRNA from 1 species
CACUCCUGCGGGAGGCAGCAGUGGGGAAUAUUGCACAAUGGGCGCAAGCCUGAUGCAGCCAUGCCGCGUGUAUGAAGAAGGCCUUCGGGUUGUAAAGUACUUUCAGCGGGGAGGAAGGCAAUACGGUUAAUAACCGUGUUGAUUGACGUUACCCGCAGAAGAAGCACCGGCUAACUCCGUGCCAGCAGCCGCGGUAAUACGGAGGGUGCAAGCGUUAAUCGGAAUUACUGGGCGUAAAGCGCACGCAGGCGGUCUGUCAAGUCGGAUGUGAAAUCCCCGGGCUCAACCUGGGAACUGCAUUCGAAACUGGCAGGCUUGAGUCUUGUAGAGGGGGGUAGAAUUCCAGGUGUAGCGGUGAAAUGCGUAGAGAUCUGGAGGAAUACCGGUGGCGAAGGCGGCCCCCUGGACAAAGACUGACGCUCAGGUGCGAAAGCGUGGGGAGCAAACAGGAUUAGAAACCCCGGUAGUCCCAUGA